CCUACGGGUGGCAGCAGUGGGGAAUAUUGCACAAUGGGCGCAAGCCUGAUGCAGCGACGCCGCGUGAGGGAUGGAGGCCUUCGGGUUGUGAACCUCUUUCGCCAGUGAAGCAGGCCUGCUCCUUUUUUGUGGGUGGGUUGACGGUAGCUGGAUAAGAAGCGCCGGCUAACUACGUGCCAGCAGCCGCGGUAAUACGUAGGGCGCGAGCGUUGUCCGGAAUUAUUGGGCGUAAAGAGCUCGUAGGCGGCUGGUCGCGUCUGUCGUGAAAUCCUCUGGCUUAACUGGGGGCUUGCGGUGGGUACGGGCCGGCUUGAGUGCGGUAGGGGAGGCUGGAACUCCUGGUGUAGCGGUGGAAUGCGCAGAUAUCAGGAAGAACACCGGUGGCGAAGGCGGGUCUCUGGGCCGUUACUGACGCUGAGGAGCGAAAGCGUGGGGAGCGAACAGGAUUAGAUACCCGGGUAGUC
rnacentral:rRNA from 1 species